UUAUCGGAGAGUUUGAUCCUGGCUCAGGACGAACGCUGGCGGCGUGCCUAAUACAUGCAAGUCGAGCGGAAUCGAUG
rnacentral:rRNA from 1 species